GAAUAUUGGACAAUGGGCGAAAGCCUGAUCCAGCCAUGCCGCGUGAGUGAUGAAGGCCUUAGGGUUGUAAAGCUCUUUCACCCACGACGAUGAUGACGGUAGUGGGAGAAGAAGCCCCGGCUAACUUCGUGCCAGCAGCCGCGGUAAUACGAAGGGGGCUAGCGUUGUUCGGAAUUACUGGGCGUAAAGCGCACGCAGGCGGUGGUCAUAGUCAGAAGUGAAAGCCCUGGGCUCAACCCGGGAAUUGCUUUUGAUACUGGACCGCUAGAAUCACGGAGAGGGUAGUGGAAUUCCGAGUGUAGAGGUGAAAUUCGUAGAUAUUCGGAAGAACACCAGUGGCGAAGGCGACUACCUGGCCGUCGAUUGACGCUCAUGUGCGAAAGCGUGGGGAGCAAACAGGAUUAGAUACCCUGGUAGUCCACGCCGUAAACGAUGAGUGCUAGUUGUUGGGGUGCAUGCACCUCAGUGACGCAGCUAACGCGUUAAGCACUCCGCCUGGGGAGUAC
rnacentral:rRNA from 1 species